rnacentral:rRNA from 1 species
AGUGAACGCUGGCGGUAGGCCUAACACAUGCAAGUCGAACGGCAGCACAGUAAGAGCUUGCUCUUACGGGUGGCGAGUGGCGGACGGGUGAGGAAUACAUCGGAAUCUACUUUUUCGUGGGGGAUAACGUGGGGAAACUUACGCUAAUACCUCAUACGACCUACGGGUGAAAGCAGGGGAUCUUCGGACCUUGCGCGAUUGAAUGAGCCGAUGUCGGAUUAGCUAGUUGGCGGGGUAAAGGCCCACCAAGGCGACGAUCCGUAGCUGGUCUGAGAGGAUGAUCAGGCACACUGGAACUGAGACACGGUCCAGACUCCUACGGGAGGCAGCAGUGGGGAAUAUUGGACAAUGGGCGCAAGCCUGAUCCAGCCAUACCGCGUGGGUGAAGAAGGCCUUCGGGUUGUAAAACCCUUUUGUUGGGAAAGAAAAGCAGCAGGUUAAUACCCCGCUGUUCUGACGGUACCCAAAGAAUAAGCACCGGCUAACUUCGUG